AGUGAACGCUGGCGGUAGGCCUAACACAUGCAAGUCGAACGGCAGCACAGGAGAGCUUGCUCUCUGGGUGGCGAGUGGCGGACGGGUGAGGAAUACAUCGGAAUCUACUCUGUCGUGGGGGAUAACGUAGGGAAACUUACGCUAAUACCGCAUACGACCUACGGGUGAAAGCAGGGGACCUUCGGGCCUUGCGCGAUUGAAUGAGCCGAUGUCGGAUUAGCUAGUUGGCGGGGUAAAGGCCCACCAAGGCGACGAUCCGUAGCUGGUCUGAGAGGAUGAUCAGCCACACUGGAACUGAGACACGGUCCAGACUCCUACGGGAGGCAGCAGUGGGGAAUACUGGACAAUGGGCGCAAGCCUGAUCCAGCCAUACCGCGUGGGUGAAGGAGGCCUUCGGGUUGUAAAGCCCUUUUGUUGGGAAAGAAAUCCAGCUGGCUAAUACCCGGUUGGGAUGACGGUACCCAAAGAAUAAGCACCGGCUAACCUCGUGCCAGCCGCCGCCGUAA
rnacentral:rRNA from 1 species